rnacentral:rRNA from 1 species
GGACGAACGCUGGCGGCGUGCCUAAUACAUGCAAGUCGAGCGGACAGAAGGGAGCUUGCUCCCGGAUGUUAGCGGCGGACGGGUGAGUAACACGUGGGUAACCUGCCUGUAAGACUGGGAUAACUCCGGGAAACCGGAGCUAAUACCGGAUAGUUCCUUGAACCGCAUGGUUCAAGGAUGAAAGACGGUUUCGGCUGUCACUUACAGAUGGACCCGCGGCGCAUUAGCUAGUUGGUGAGGUAACGGCUCACCAAGGCGACGAUGCGUAGCCGACCUGAGAGGGUGAUCGGCCACACUGGGACUGAGACACGGCCCAGACUCCUACGGGAGGCAGCAGUAGGGAAUCUUCCGCAAUGGACGAAAGUCUGACGGAGCAACGCCGCGUGAGUGAUGAAGGUUUUCGGAUCGUAAAGCUCUGUUGUUAGGGAAGAACAAGUGCAAGAGUAACUGCUUGCACCUUGACGGUWCCUAAC